UACGGGGGGGGGCAAGCGUUGUUCGGAAUUACUGGGCGUAAAGGGCGCGUAGGCGGUUUGCUAAGUUGGAUGUGAAAACUCUGGGCUUAACCCAGAGCCUGCAUCCAAAAACUGGCAAACUUGAGUACUGGAGGGGGAAAGCGGAAUUCCUGGUGUAGCGGUGAAAUGCGUAGAUAUCAGGAGGAAACACCGGUGGCGAAAGGGCGGCUUU
rnacentral:rRNA from 1 species